rnacentral:lncRNA from 1 species
ACCCUGUUCCCGUGGCCACCCGUCACCACGCUCGCGGCCACCGCUUCUAUCCCUCGCCGCCGACAACACCAGCGCCGCCGCUUUGAUUCGCUGCCGGAGGUCAUCGUGACCCCACGAAAACCCGCCGUCCUGGUGUCAACCGUGCGGCAACCGUCCUGACGGAGGAAGUUUUCGGCCGCGACCCCUGUGGCCACCGUCCGUGGUCAGAUUCAGGAGUGGGACACCGCUCUCCCUCUCCGUCGCCGCCCUAACGCCUCCCUCCGCCGCUACAACCCGAGCCGCCCGCGUCUGCCGCCAACCGCCUGCAUCGGGCCCACAGAGGAGACCGCCGCCGGGAAACCCGAGAUCGGC